CAACCAAAAAUUUACUGAUUUAAACGAAAUCUUCAUUACAGCCUCACAUAUAGUUACAAAAUUCAUGAUUCUGGGGAGAGGUGUUUUGGUAACAGGGUGGGACCAAAUUGGUUGUUGUUCACUUGAGCCAAAGGCUCAAGUGAAAUUUUCUGAUCACAUUUUAUCAAUCAUACGUCUGUCUGACUAUCCGUAAACUUUUUUGUCUUCUCCAAAAGCACUGAGUCAGUUUCAAAAAAGCUUGGCACAAAGCCUCUUUGCCUGGAUUUAAGAUCAAACCAAGAAACAUGUCCACUUGAAGGUGAAAUAAUCAAGAAAAGGCAAAACUGGGGUGGGGUAGUUUAAAAAUCUUAUUCUUAAGAAAAUUUAGGGCAAACAAGUUGAAAUAUGCAUGAACAUUUCCUGACAUAGAGUAGAUUCAAGUUUGUUCACAUUGUUAGUAGGAUGAUUCCUCAAUAUGGGGUCAAAGGUUAAUGAUUUCUGAUUUCUGGUCAUUCCAGCACUUAUUGACACUUUGUUUUUUCAGCUUCCUGGGUCUCAAGAGAUGAUGACAGCCUGACCACAGGAACACUUCCUUCCUCCUACAAGCAGAAAGAGGCUGUCUUACCAUCUGAUUCAUUUCUGGAAAUAGUCUUCCAGAUAGAGCGGGGUAUUGGUCACUGGAAGAGUCCGGCUGAUUGACGAGGAAUUGUCCUGAGACUGUGACAUAUUGUAGAGUAGCGGUCACCAGAGAUGUAAGGCUGAUUGAUGAGGGUACUUUUCCUGAGACUCUGUAAAAAUAUCAGAAUUUGGCGUGAAGUGAUUGGUUGUACAGAAAUUUCAAGUUCUCCCAGAUCCAGGGAAACAUGAGGACUGUGGAGUGUCGUGAUAUUAUUGAUGGUCAACAGAAGACUGUGACCUUGAAUCUGAAGAUCUGUGAUGAAGACCGGACGUUUGGGGUCACUCUCUGUUACAGUACUACAAAUCUAACAGUGAUACACUCAGCCACAAAGAGGUUGUCUCUGAUGUCCACACAUAAACCUAAUGGAGACUCUAAAUCACAGUGAAUGUAACGGAGGAACUGUCCGUCCUGAUCUAGGAUGUGGAUACGGUCAUUGUGACGGUCUGC